UUUGCAACCCAUAAUCGGAGGCCAAUUAUGCUUCUUAACCUCUGAUUCAAUUGACUCCUAGUUUGUCUUGCAUAUGUUUUGGUUUUGUCUUUUAAAUUUUCCUUUGGAUUCAUGUUCCCGUUGAUGUUCUCUCUUUUCAUUCACAUGCAUCAUAAAAAAAAUGAUGAAGAGAAAUACUAGAUGAACCUUUUUGCAUCCUACCUAGCCCGGAGUGAGACAUAUAUAUACAGGUCCUGGUACUAGAUGAACCUUUUUGCAUCCUUGAACAGAUGGAGAAUUCUGGAAUACGCAGGCUGCAAUUCUGGAGGGGCAGCCAUGACAAUUCCACUCACCGUUAUUAAUCUGGGUAAAACUCAUCGCGCUCGUUGGCGCAUCGGCCACCACAACCCAAUUUUUUCAUCUCCUCCCUCCUUCUCGUCGUUGGUCUAUCCACAAACCACAAACCAUUUUCUCUCCAGAGCCAUACCGUUCGUCCUUCUCCUCGUUGACCUAUCAGCAAUCACAAAGCAUUUUCUACAACCUUUUGAAAACUGAUGAAAGGGAUUAGGACCCGUGUCCGCAAAGAUUUUGAUCUGUUUGUCAUCGAUUUGUUGAACCAGAUUUGUUGUUGUUUUCGAUCAGUAGUUAUCACCGGAUUCAGUAUGCCAUCGAAGGAAAGAUCCGUCGAGAUCCACCGCACCGACACCUCCAAAAUAUCCUUGCGGCUAGGAACAUCGACCGAGAAGCAGUGGGCUGGAUGUCUCGUGUCACCGCUUUGCGGGAUUGGCAUGUUUAUCCAGUGUGGGAGCCAAGGCUCCUGCUGUUCCUGCUUUGAGGCCUGAUGGAGUGGACCUUUUAUCUCCAAGUGUUUUAGAAGCUGCUGUGAGAACCAAGUUCUUGUGUCAUUUGCAAGCAUGGUGUUGAUGGGGUCAAGUUCAAGAAGCUCUGAGACUCAUUCACUCUAAUCCAACUAACAAGGUCAUAAUCGCAACAGCCUAAUUAGAAAAAGAUGUCUCCGAACAAUUCGUUCAAGCUUAUAGACGACUAGAAGUUACCCCUCACUACGUGUUAUAGUCUGCUGUAAAAUGUUUGAACCUCUAGAUAAAAUGCUUCCAAGAUGCUAGUGAUAAGAAAGUACGAAAACAUGUUAUAUGUAAUGAAGACCAAUAGAGUUAUGCAUCAA